UGCAAACUCCACACAGAAAGGCCCUGGUUGGUUUGAACCGGGAUUCGAAACCAGAACCCUUUUUGCUGUGAGGCGAAAGUGCUAACCAUUACACCACCGUGCAGCCCCAGAGUAUGUUAUGUUCCAGAUAAGAGAUCGAAACCUGUCAACAGCUACACUACUGACCAAUCAGAUCACUGGAACAGCGUCAUCAUUCAACAGGAUCCCGUCAGGGACGUGAAAAAUAAUAAAGUGCAGCAGAUAUUUAUGAAUGAGUGGAAUCAUGUUGCUGUUGCAGACUUUUCAUCUGUCCACUGGUUUAAAAACAGAACUUCUAAUUAACAGAGAGAGUUAAUCACACUAAAUAUAUACGUUGACGCAUUGAUAUUAAAGCUUCAUUUGAAUCAAUAAAGAUUAUUUGAUUCCCGACAGAUUCAUUUAAGUUUAUUUUUGUAUCACUGCAGCUCGGAACAACGCGAGGAGACGCUGGCGAUAAAUAAUAGAAAAAACUAAAUAUUAUCUCGUUUAUUAGAACAAUCAUCCACACACUGAUCAAUAUUCCUCAUGAUCAUGAUUGAACAGUUCAGUCACACAUUAACGUCUUAUCUCCUCUGCCUCAGCAGCAGAAACAGUGUGACAUCACUUCAACCUUUUACGUGAAAAGGCUUAACGUAACUUAAUGUGCUAAAGCAGCGAUCAAUAAUCAACAAAUUUCUCUCAGAUAUGCUUCGUCGUAAACUUUAUUUAUGAAUUUGACAAUGUUGCUUGUAAUUACCGACUCCACCUCUUUCAUGUGAACACGCUCGUAACCGGACUGGAAAACCCAGGGUUGACUGAGACAGUUGAUAUCCAGCUUCGUAGUACAGGUUAUCCAGGAUGGUAAAUGUUUGCUCAAGUCAAUCCAGACAAAGAAAACAUAUCCUGGAUAUCUUCAUCUCGCAACUUUGAGAAGCCUGUAGCGGUGGAUGGGGCACACCCUCGGAUUUUAAAAGGCCAUGGAGCAUUAUCGCCAGGUUUCAUUUCUACCAUCAGAAAAAAACUGAUUUGAGAACAUUAACUUUGCAAUGCCUGCUCAUUGUUUAUUUAUUAUAUUAUUUUCUGCGCAGACGGUAGAUUAAGUGAUUAUUUUUUAUUUCGUUAAUUUUUUUUGAUGAUUCCAUAAUCACAAUUAAGCUUUUCUCCGGGAGGGACUGCAGGCCAUUUAGGCGUUUCCCCAUUCAUUAUGGAGUCUUUUUUCUUUGGGGGUGGGGGGAGUGGUACGGGUUUGUGUGGAUGUUCUGUGGGGAGAGGUAUGCUGUUUGGUGUUUCAGCUCAGUAUUUCUGGUUCUUUUUUUCUGUCACAGUUUUCCAUUGUCUUUCAUAUCACACAUGUAUGAAAUAUUCAAGGAUUUGAUUACUGAUUUUUUGAUUUGUUUGAAAUCAUGUCCACAAUUCUAAAGGAUAAAAUUACACCAAUCACAUAUAAUGUUUAAGGCCAUGGAAAUAACAUCAAAUGUUGGAAGGCUUUUUCUCAUUUGAGUUCAUUGAAAGCCGAUAUUGUAUCUUUACAAGAGACUCACACUAUUAAAGAUGUUGAUUACAAACUUAAACCUGGUUGGAUCUCACAGGUGUACCAUGCACCAUUCACAACCCGAGCAUGGGUUGUAGCAUCCUGUUUCGUAAAACUUUCUUUCUUUCUUAAAUCCGACAUUAUAGACCCAAAUGGGUGAUAUUAACUCGUUUCCAAUUAGCUUGUUGAAUAUUUAUGGCCCAAACUCUGAAGACCCCACCUUUUUUCAUACAUUUUUUGAACUACUUCCAGAGGAUGGAUCCUCCAAUAUUUUCAUUGGUGGAGACUUUAAUUGCUAUUUAGACUCAUUCUUAGACAGAACAUCCUCUAAAUCUCCUCCAACAAUUAACUUUGUUCAGACAGAAUUAUUGUAGAUAUUUGGAGAGUACAACACCCAGACAAAAAAGAAUAUUAAUUCUACAUGUUCACCAGUCAUUUACUAGGAUUGAUUACUUAUAGUGGAUGCCGGUUCAAUCGCCAACAUAAACACAGAUUAUCACAAAAUACUGAUCUCUGAUCAGAGUCCUGUUGCACUGCAGUUACUGAUUAAUUUUUCCAAACCUAAAUAGAACUGGAGAUUUAACCCUCUGAAACUAUCAUCACCAGAUUUUAAAGAGUACAUGUCCAAUCACCUCUGAGAUUUUUUUGAAAUCAAUGAUAAUGGAACAUUUUAAGACUCCAGGAAUCUCUUAAAGUUAUCAUUGGAGGAUAUAUUAUUUCUUAUGAGACCUCUCCUUUUUUUUUUAAGGUGACAUAUUAUGCUCAUAUUCAGGUUCAUACUUUGAAUUAGGGUUACCACUUGAAAAGGUUUACAUGCCCCAAUGUUCAGAAAAGUCUUCAGUGUUCUCAUACUGUCCAUUCCUCCAGCGCCUCUUUUCACCGCUUUUCACCCUCUGCCUCUCACGCUCGGCUUUACUCUAGCCCUCCCCGCACGGAAAAUCCCAGUUGCAUCUGAUUGGCCAGUUGGCCCAGUCUGUUGUGAUUGGUCAACCGCUUUCAGGGCAUGUACGAAAUGUCACGCCUCAUCACCAGACACGGAUGCUCCGAAACGGCCGGCAUACGGAGAAGCUAAAAACACAGACGUUGCUAAGCAACAAUGGCGAAUUUUCAACCGUACCAGUUGAAUCCCAAGUCUGACACCGACAGAGAGGAAGAACAAGCUGGCAGUCCUGAAGCUUUUCAACCGAGAUUGGAUCCGGACGUUUCAGAGUGGCCUAGAGCCGAAUUGCCUCAACUCAUACGCCCAGCAGAACAUCUACAACAUCUACAGAAUGGACUACGGACCUCUGAGGUGCAGAACAGAAGAAGAUUGGUGCUGUGGGACGCCACAACAGGGUCAUCAUCCCGUUAUGCGUCGUCCUCCGGAUCCGGCAGGAGUUUCCUAAUUCAGCUGACCUGUAUGCUGGCUUCCGACCACCCCUUGACUGAAG